rnacentral:rRNA from 1 species
CAAGUCGAGGGGCAUCAGUUUGGUUUGCUUGCAAACCAAAGCUGGCGACCGGCGCACGGGUGAGUAACACGUAUCCAACCUGCCUCAUACUCGGGGAUAGCCUUUCGAAAGAAAGAUUAAUACCGGAUGGCAUACGAAUAUCGCAUGAUAUUUUUAUUAAAGAAUUUCGGUUAUCGAUGGGGAUGCGUUCCAUUAGUUUGUUGGCGGGGUAACGGCCCACCAAGGCAACGAUGGGUAGGGGUUCUGAGAGGAAGGUCCCCACAUUGGAACUGAGACACGGUCCAAACUCC